rnacentral:rRNA from 1 species
UCCAGACUCCUACGGGAGGCAGCAGUGGGGAAUAUUGCACAAUGGGGGAAACCCUGAUGCAGCGACGCCGCGUGAGUGAAGAAGUAUUUCGGUAUGUAAAGCUCUAUCAGCAGGGAAGAAAAUGACGGUACCUGACUAAGAAGCCCCGGCUAACUACGUGCCAGCAGCCGCGGUAAUACGUAGGGGGCGAGCGUUAUCCGGAUUCACUGGGUGUAAAGGGAGCGUAGACGGCCAUGCAAGCCAGGGGUGAAAGCCCGGGGCCCAACCCCGGGACUGCCCUUGGAACUGCAUGGCUGGAGUGCGGGAGGGGCAGGCGGAAUUCCUGGUGUAGCGGUGAAAUGCGUAGAUAUCAGGAGGAACACCGGCGGCGAAGGCGGCCUGCUGGACCGCGACUGACGUUGAGGCUCGAAAGCGUGGGGAGCAAACAGGAUUAGAUACCCCAGUAU